rnacentral:lncRNA from 1 species
CAGCAAUUAUCAACAGCAACCCGAGACUUCUAUAUCAAAACUUGCUUCCAUUUCUAUUCCUUCUUCUGAUUCUACAUUUAAAAACCUUUCUGCCGAGCACACAUAUCUGUGAGACUUUUGUCAAACUUUCAUCCUUCCCAACAUGGAAUUGCUAUGGGAGCUGCACCGGGACGAUGCUGCCGGGCUCGUAAUUGCAGCAGCAGUAACGAGGAGCUGGGGAGAGGGGCUGAUUACCAGGCAGAGAUAAUAAACUAAUGAGAGGAGGGCCGGAGUGAGGCUGAGGAGGGGCUGAGGAAGCUGCAGGUGUCGCACAGGGAGGAAGCUGGGCCAGGAAACGGCCACGGAGAGCUCGGGGAAGAUGAAUGGCACGAACAGAGCACUUAAUGCUGAUAAUAAUUGGAGCUUGAGGGUGUGCUUAGUAUAUGAAUAAAGUAAUUAACCAAUUAAAAAUGCACAGGAGACGCAUGAUGGAAAAUGAUAACCAACAGGAAAAUGAUGGAUGCCCUGCACGGGAGUUCUCAAGGCCGAGCAUUCCCGAUGCUGGCACGUGGAGAGGCACCCGGUGCCCUUUGAUCACUGCCACCCUGCCACCCUGCCACCUGCCAGGGCCAGCGGGUGCCCUCUGAUCUCUGCCACCCUGCCACCUGCCGAGCUGCCCUGGUGGCAAAUUGCCUGGAAUUAAUCCCAGCCCUGCUUGCAGGCUCUGGGAAUGCCACGAGAAUGCCCGAGCAUGUGGCAGAGCCCUGAGGGGCAGCUGCUGUCCAGGGACCAGGAGGAGCAGCCAGCACCGGGUGGCACAUGGGGAAGUCCAGAAUGAGCCAGGGGCCUGAACCUGGUGGUUUUCAUGAUUGGGUUUUCCUUUGUUGGUGCCUUUUUUUAAGGCCACAGACAGCACCAGCCACAAAAAUGAAGAUUUUACUCACUGUCAGUGCCUUAUUUUGAGUAAUUGUUGCAACAGCAACAAUCUGCACCCCCUGAAUUUGUAUUUCUGGUUUUAUGGUCAUAAUUUCCUUUCUUUUCCAGAUCCAGCCCACUGAGAAUUGGUGUGGAGUCAGCCAGGGCUUGUCCUGCUGUACCCUCCAUUCCUGGAAAAACUGGGAAACUCUUAGGAAAGCAGGCCUAAUGCAGGUGCAGCCCUCGUUUCCCAUUGGAUCUGAGCCUGUGGAGCUGCUGGAGCUGAGCUGUGUCCCAGGAGGGCAGCCUGGCAUGCAAGGAGAGCAAAGCUUUCCCCAGAGCUGCCUGCAGGGAGGAGCAGCCAGGCUGUCAUUCCCAGGGGAGCCGGGGAGAGCAUCCACCUUUCCCUUCUCACCCCUUCCUCUGCUCUCUCUCACCCAUCAUCUCCCUGUCCCUCCCUGCAUCUCUCUUUCUUUCUUUCCCUUUUUUCUCCAUGGAGAUGACCAAAUCAGAGACUCCCCCCCCAAUAAAACCUGAAUAAUUUUUAUGAUUUUAUUUCUAAUUAAUCACUUUACCUCUGCCCAGUGGAGCCUGUGGGAUGACCCCAGACCAUGCAGGACUCUAAAAGGACCCUCCACAUCAGCUGAAAAAUGGGAUUCUCCUUGAUUAAAUUCUUGAUUCUCCUUGAAGUCCAUCUGCCACUGCAGAAAACACUUCCCUGCCCUGCCAGUGAAUGAGUUCAGCCCCUGGAAUAAAUGAGUGAGAAUCCACA